rnacentral:rRNA from 1 species
UAACACAUGUCAAGUCGAGCGAGGAGAAAAGAGCUUGCUCUUGGAACCUAGCGGCGGACGGGUGAGUAACGCGUGGGUAACCUGCCCUAUACACACGGAUAACAUACCGAAAGGUAUGCUAAUACGGGAUAAAGCUAAGAUAAGGCAUCUUAUCAUAGUCAAAGCGAAAGCGGUAUAGGAUGGGCCCGCGUCCCAUUAGCUAGUUGGUGAGGUAAAAGCUCACCAAGGCGACGAUGGGUAGCCGACCUGAGAGGGUGAUCGGCCACACUGGAACUGAGACACGGUCCAGACUCCUACGGGAGGCAGCAGUGGGGAAUAUUGCACAAUGGGGGAAACCCUGAAUGCAGCAACGCCGUCGNUGAGCGAAGAAGGCCUUCGGGUCGUAAAGCUCUGUCCUAAGGGAAGAAGGAUUGACGGUACCUUAGGAGGAAGCCCCGGCUAACUACGUGCCAGCAGCCGCGGUAAUACGUAGGGGGCAAGCGUUAUCCGGAAUUACUGGGCGUAAAGGGUGCGUAGGCGGCUGUACAAGUCAGAGGUGAAAGGCUACGGCUCAACCGUAGUAAGCCUUUGAAACUGUACGGCUUGAGUGCAGGAGAGGAGAGUAGAAUUCCCAGUGUAGCGGUGAAAUGCGUANAUAUUGGGAGGAAUACCAGUUGCGAAGGCGGCUCUCUGGACU